GGUAGACAGCUGUUAGCCAUCCCCGAGCUCCUCUGGUUCCUGGAAAUAAACCGAAGAUGAAGCUGUUUGCAGCUGCAGUUGACGGAGCUGCCAUCUGCUUGGCUCCCUGGAAGCUCUUAGCCAAGGACUUUGAGUCUAACUGCCUCACAGCAGAGCAGGCAGUUUUCUGUAGGGAGCUGGACUGAAGGUCACCUCUUUCCAUCUCCAGAAGGCAUUUCCAGAAAGAAGCACACUGCAGUCCUCACCCUUUGUAAUCUAUCUC
rnacentral:lncRNA from 1 species